rnacentral:rRNA from 1 species
UACGUAGGGUGCGAGCGUUAAUCGGAAUUACUGGGCGUAAAGCGUGCGCAGGCGGCCUUUCAAGUCAGGUGUGAAAGCCCCGGGCUCAACCUGGGAAUUGCGCUUGAAACUAGGAGGCUUGAGUGUGGCAGAGGGGGGUGGAAUUCCACGUGUAGCGGUGAAAUGCGUAGAUAUGUGGAGGAACACCGAUGGCGAAGGCAGCCCCCUGGGCCGACACUGACGCUCAGGCACGAAAGCGUGGGGAGCAAACAGG